UUGCUUGAUUGAAAGAAAAAGUGCAUCAAGUUGCUUCUAGAAAACAACAUUUAAGAUGAAAAUCUAAUUUCGCAGGUUCAAUGUACACACGUCCACCCCUGAGAGGAUAUCUGUCACAGAAAGUGUCUUGAAGAGAAGUCAUCGCUUCAACCGCAGUAUCCUUGUUUUUAUAAGGAGGACACCAGACUUUAUGCUUCACAGCUGACAUGCGAGUGCAGGGUUCCUCAAAUCUUACCCUUGAGGGCCAAUGCACUAUUUAGCUCCAACCUUGAUCAAACACACCUGAGAAAGCUGAUCGUGGUCGUAAGGAUCACUAGAUAUUCACAUGUGAGUGACAUUGAUCAGGACUGGAGCUAAACUCUGCAGUGCAUUGGUCCUCCAAUGUAAGAUUUGAAGUACACUGUGCUAGGGUAUCAGACCACCGUGCCCUCUUACUCUCUGGCUCUCAGGACAGAGUACACAAUACACAUAAUACACAAUAGAAAAGACUUGAAACGGGGGAAGUUAAUCCAGCUCCGGCAAGCAGCCAUCCGGUCCAGUGCCAUUACAGCAACGUUUACAGACCCGCUUAUCAGGCUGGCGGUUCAAAGCGACGGAGGCGUGGGAUCGGACUCAUGAAGAAUUCUUGCUUUGUGUCCGGUCCACCCUUUCUCUGGCUGUGGUUCCUCCAUUACUUUAACACACUUCAGCAACUUGUCAGUCUCCUUAUUUGGGUGGCCACCAGGAGUAGGCAUCUGAAUACCAGGACUUUGCAGCUGGUCCAGUCGUCCCUUCUCCCUCAAACUCCACCAUUAGAAAUUGCUGCUGUGGAGAGGUUGUCAACUACGUAGAUGCAUAGAGUAGAGGAUGGUAGGGGAUAGUCAAAAAAGGAUUCCUGGUGGUUGAAGGUACUGUAGGCAACAUAAAUGUCAUCCCUGAAUAAAAUGAUGUUCUUCAGCUUAGCAGCUUUACCAAUGAUGUAAACGAGACUGUUUGCCUGAUACAGCUUGAAAGUGUAAGAGCUUGUUCUUAAUUCUUUGCAUUGUGCUGCUUCAUGAACAUUUGCAGAGAUAGGACCAGUUGCAUGCUGUUUUCUCAACGCGUAUGGUCUGGUUUUGUGAGUUUUUGUUCAGCAACUUUGCAUUUCAGAGAAUCUUCUGACUAUUUGACUCAGGGGGUACGUUGGUUUCCUCAGAAGUCUUUUCAGUUUGUACAGGUGAUUCUCGUAUUUGAAAGCGCUGAAUAUGUCCAGGAUGUCAUGCUGUUUUGCAUCGUCUGCAAGGUGUACAAGGCAGUGUGCAUUGUAGGACAGGAAUUUUGGACCAUACAGCUGACCAAAGUGGGUGACAAAUAGAACCUGUAUGUCAUUGGUAUAAUCACAUUAAUGUUGUAUUAAACUGUUGUUACACAGGAUGAAAAUUCCCACAAAAAGCAACAUGAAGUUUUUGUACACUUCUGUGCUGAGGAGAUCUUUUAACAUGACCGGUCCGGUAUACAGUAAAAACUGCCUGAACUCUGUUGCCUUCCACCUAUCAAUUUCUCUCAGUGUCCUUGGUUCCUUGCAAACUCCAUGGGUACAUUACUAUGAGCACUCACCAACCUUUCUGUUAAGAUUGCACCCGCACCUGAACCUCAUCACUUCCUGUUUGCUGCGAGCGUGUGGUUUGAGACCGAGCUCCGUCAAACUUUUCUAAAAAUAUUGUUUAUUCCUGUUAUAUCUUAAGAUUUAUGUUCCAAGUUGAUAAUUCACAGAGGGUAAAACGUAUCUUUAGGUGUAUCCCAUACCCAAAUCGUCAUAUAGCGCACAGAUCAACUUGUUUUAUACGAUCAUUCGCUAUUAGCCCACAGGCUGUUAGCAUUCCCAGCCUUUAGUUUCUGAAUAUUGCCCUUACUGCUCAACUCACUGUUCUCAUUAUGACACCACUAAUGGCUAAUGAUUCAGAUAUGUGUUUAACGUUACCUCUGAGUGCAGAUGAUGAAUCUUUCUUCGCACUUCAGUCAGAACUGGAAGCAUUGGAGAAGCAGAUCCACGAUCUACUCGAGAGGCAAACACAUCUGCGAGAACGUAAAACGGCACUGGAAACAUCCAGGGCUGACGCUCGCAAAACCGCGGUAAGUUUUCGACAUGAUUGUAAUACUCCUACCACUUCUACUCCGCGUGUUUCUAUACACAGAGCCCAGGCUUCAAGAACACGAUGAGCCCAAAUGAAUUUCACUCCUGCACCGGCAACCACACGGCGGAAGGCGAAAUCCAGGACCCGAGCGAUGACCUCUCCCCCACCGCCGCCACCCGGUCUUCGAGAUCCCUACCAGUAGCCGCUUUGCCGCCCACUGCGAGACGAAAUGCAACGCUGUGGUCAUCGGAGACUCAGUCGUCCGGAACAUACACGCUUCCUUCACUCAAGGUAAGGUGUGCACUCAAUGUUUUCCUGCGCCCGUGUUCUCGAUGUCUCUACGCAGGUAAAUGCGAUUCUGAAGGACGACGAAAGAGUGGGAGCCAUAGUACUGCACGCGGGGGUGAAUGAUGUGAGAAUGCUGCAGUCGGAGAUCCUGAAGAGGGACUUCAGGAGCCUUGUCGAUACUGUACGCAUCGCCCACAGCCAGGAUCAGGGCCGCUUCCUACUUACAGACGAGGGAACGAAAAGUUCAGUAGACUAUUUACGCUUAAUAAUUGGUUAAUGUCAUGGUGUAUUGAAUAGAAGCUGCUCUUUGUAAAUAAUUUUGAUCUGUUCUGGGAGCGACCAAGGCUUUUCCGCCCCGACGGCCUGCACCCCAGCAGCAUUGGAGCGGAAAUUCUGUCUGACAACAUCUCAAAGACGUUACGCACCAUUUGACUAACGUGUGUGUGCGCCUCUGAGUGCAGAUGAUGAAUCUUUCUUCGCUAUUCAGUCAGAACUGGAAGCAUUGGAGAAGCAGAUCCACGAUCUACUCGAGAGGCAAACACAUCUGCGAGAACGUAAAACGGCACUGGAAACAUCCAGGGCUUACGCUCACAAAACGGCGGUAAGUUUUCAUCGUGAUUGUAAUACUCCUACCACUUCUACUCCACGUGUUUCUCUGCACAGAGCCCAGGCUUCAAGAACACGACGAGCCCCAAUGAACUUCACUCCUGCACCGGCACACACACAGCGAAAGGCGCAAACCAGGACCGGAGCGAUGACCUCUCCCCCACCACCGCCACCGGUCUUCGAGAACCCGGCUAUGAACCGCUUUGCCGCCCUCUGUGAGACGUAAUGCAACGCUGUGGUCAUCGGUGACUCAAUCGUCCGGAACGUACGCGCUUCCUUCACUCAAGACCCUCCCUCUCAGGUAGAUAUAAACGAGGAGACCCCACAGGACCAGUCACCCACUUUCUGCUAGAACAUCCGACGCAGAUUCUUUUGAUGCAGUUUUUGGAAAACCUUCUUCUUCAAUCAAGAAUGGCUUCUCAAAGCUGCAGCUUCAUUCACACAUCUGAGGCCAUCGCUGAGCUGGUGGAGAAGGCCAAGGCCAAUUCUCUGGAGAUUCUGCAGUCUGGCAUAGUCUUCAGUUCUGGCCACUUGGCAAAGAUUCACACACGCGAAAACAAAAAUGGCGGCGGCGAAAUGGGUGGACACAUUCAGAUCAAGUGGCGGAAAUAUAACUAAUGUCACAGGGUCACCAGGGCCGGAACCUCUUUUUUUGGAGUUGUUUUUUGGGUAAUGUCCGGACGCACGAACGAGGCGGAAGCGAAGCUAGAAUUGAUUGAGCGAAAUCACCGGCACGUGUGAAGGAGAAAACCCUGAACGAGGAUUGGGGCGGAGAAGCAUUAAAGACGCUGACAUUGGAGAAGAGGGAGAUUGAGAGGGAGGAGAGAAACAGUGGGGUGCGAGAGAGGGGAAAGAAACAGCGGGAGAGGCAGUAAGAAGUAUAAGGACUGAGGACUGAAGGAGGAGGAGGAAUGAUUACAUCUCCAUUUACUAAGGUGUCCAUUUGAGCCCGAAUACUGCCUUAUUCAUUGAGGUUUGGAGUGAUUGCAGUGAUGUGCUGAUAUUUUCACGGGUGGACUGGAGUCUUUUGCUGUGUACACACACGAGUGUGGGAACCCCGCAGAUUGUUCGGGUGAUUGAGCUCACCUCUCUAUGAAGUCCAGUCCUGUGAGUACGAAAUACAGAGUUAGAGCUUGAUACCUUCGUCUGUCUUCUGUCCGUGCUGUAGCCAACGGAGCUGCUGAGUUGAGCUCACCUCUCUAUGUAAUCCAGUCCUGACUUACUGAGCCAAUGUGUGUUGGAGAAACACGGAAAGAGGCGUUUUAGAGCCGCUGAAUUGAGUUCGACUCCUGCUGAAAUCCAGUCUUUCCUGUGGAAAGGACUUACCGAGCCAAUGUGUGUUGGAGAAACACCGAAAGAGACUGCUUGAUUUUUAAAGGGGACAUUCUUUUAAUAAAUAAAAAGUGUAAAUUAUAUCUCCUGUUGUCCGUCCUCUUCUGUCCUGCGGGGUAGCUCCUCCUGGUGGUACGGAACCGAGUCGGGGGGAUGUACUCUUCCCCCCCUACCCGUGACACUAACAUCAUGUGUUUCAAGUUUAUUCCUGUACUCCACCGCAGACAGUCUUCUCACCCAAGACGCAAGGCACAAUGCGCUCACUCUCACGCACGUCCCAUUCACACCUCCCCUUCUACACCUCUGUUGCUCUCCUCCCACUUAUUGCAAAAACACUGUUAAGGGCAGCUUUCAACCAAUCAAUGGAAAUCCUCAGUCCUAUUUCUGCUAGACCUAUCUGCAGCGUUUGACACUGUCAAUCACCAGAUACUGCUAGCAACCCUGUCAUCUCUAGGAAUCUCAGGCACUCCUCUCCGCUGGUUCAAAUCCUACCUCUCCGGCAGAUCCUUCAGGGUUUCAUGGAGGGGCUCGCCGUCCACUGCUUACCACAUGAUCACUGGGGUCCCUCAGGGAUGAAAGAGCAUCACCUCCAGCUGAUGGCAUACUUUUACAGCUUCCUACACUCCUACACCCCAUCAAGAUCCCUCCGGUAUUGGUCUAGCUUUUAUUGAAACUCUUAACUUUGUAUUAGCACCUGUUGUAUUAUUGCUCCUGUAUGACAUCAUUGCGUAUUGCUCCUGAACUCUCUGGACGAUUUGCUGACGAAGCCAGGGCAGCUUACACCAAGCAACUGCUGGACUGUGCUGGAGAAGGCCAAGAGAGACUUCCUUGCCGUCAUUGUUGAAGGUCUUCCCGAAGAGAGCGUUUGAGGACACAAUGGCAGUGGUUAUCCUUUAACAUCUCCAGCGGCCGGGAGUGGUCGAGUAUCUUUGUAGUGUCUGCAUUGUGUAACGGCUAGGGCUGGGCGAUGUGUUGACAUUUUUUUAUGGAUAAUCGACUUUAAAAUCAUCACAAUAUCUGAUAAUAUCGGGUGUGUUUGACUUCAUGCAACGUUCGGAGACGAUCAAUCUGCGGAUACGGAUCGGGAGGGAAUUCCUUCUGGACCAGCCAAGUGUGUGCACACACACGCGCACAAACCAGUGUUGCAGUGACUUCUUUCGUCAGUUGUUUGGUGCUUACUAUGAAGGGAUCAGGCCAGAACUUCUCAACGGCCAAACACAGAAGAGAACAUGGGAUGAGGCAGAAGGACUAGACCGCUCCUUCAUUUCCAGCACAGGGAGGCCGAUCUUCAACGCCUCCAAUGACAUCAACCGGCUUCACGUCAAUUCUCUGAAAUGAACUUCUCUUAGUCCCAGGUCUUGUAAUAACAUGUUGUUUACAUAUUUCUAUUUAGAUAUGGAGUGAAGCCGGUCACCAGUCAGAUGGCGAGGAAGGUGUUUGAGACUGCCGCCAAAUCUCAGGGUGACUCAGAAAGGGAUUUCGUGGCAGAUUACCACACACAUUCCACCGCCACAGCAGACAAGCAUUACCACAUGAAGACACUGAAGGAUGUGAUAUUUGCUCGCAAACUGCUGGGCCAGCUGGCUGGUGAAUCUGGAUCUGAACCAGAAGCACAGUUUUCGAUUUCCAAAACAAAAUCAAGUCAUUGGUUGGAUUACGUGCGGAUGAUGUCACUUGCUUCCGACCUUCGUGUUGCCUUGGAUACAGGGGCGCUCUGCUCUGUCUCGGUCACUGUCAUCGUGCUCUUUGCUUUUUCGAUUGAGACAUUUUUCUCUUAAUCUUUCCCAUGUAACACCAUAAGACGGUUUAGUAAAAAUGCUCAAAAACAAUCAAACGAAGCGUCGACCCAUUCAAUUCAGUGCUGCCUUAUGUUUACGAAACUUCAGUCUCAUUCAUGUCUCCAAACUCCUCCACAUUUCACGUUAUAAUGUCAGAAUAGGUCAUUGUGUGAUUGUCUGCAAAAGUACUACGAACAAUGUGUGAUUAUGAUCGUAUUGCUUGAUCUGCCUAUGGCGACUCGUCAUUGGCUGUUGCUCUGACUAAUGUUGUGAAAGCUUAGAUAAACUAAACUUGGCUCUGUACACUGUAGUAGGCUUUGAGAGAUGUUUUUAUUGCUCUUAUGCUUUUUGUCGUCCCAGUGUUUACCCAACUUGUAAGUCGCUUUGGAUAACAGCGUCUGCUAAUUGACUUAUUGUAAAUGUAAAGAUCAGUUGUUCAAUGCAGAAAGAAAUCACGAAGACCAAGAAGCCAGCUUCAUAGAAGCUCAAUCUUUAUUUGCUCGAGCAAGCAAAGAUGAGACACACAAGAGUUUAUCUGAAGAUGUCCAACAAAUACAUAUUUGACUCCAUACUUUA